GACAGAGGAGGCAAGCGUUGUUCGGAAUCAUUGGGCUUAAAGCGAGCGUAGGCGGCCUUGUAAGUGCCUUGUGAAACCCCACGGCUCACCCGUGGAACUGCAGGGCAAACUGCAAGACUUGAGGUCGGUAGAGGCGCCUUGAACUCUAGGUGGAGCGGUGAAAUGCGUAGAUAUCUAGGUGAACGCCGGAGGCGAAAGCGGGGCGCUGGGCCGAUUCUGACGCUGAUGCGCGAAAGCGUGGGGAGCAAACAGG
rnacentral:rRNA from 1 species